rnacentral:tRNA from 5 species
GGACCCUUAGCUCAGUUGGUUAGAGCAUCCGGCUCAUAACCGGGCGGUCAUAGGUUCAAGUCCUAUAGGGUCCACCA